rnacentral:rRNA from 1 species
GAUGAACGCUGGCGGCGUGCCUAAUACAUGCAAGUCGAGCGAACAGACGAGGAGCUUGCUCCUCUGACGUUAGCGGCGGACGGGUGAGUAACACGUGGAUAACCUACCUAUAAGACUGGGAUAACUUCGGGAAACCGGAGCUAAUACCGGAUAAUAUAUUGAACCGCAUGGUUCAAUAGUGAAAGACGGUUUUGCUGUCACUUAUAGAUGGAUCCGCGCCGCAUUAGCUAGUUGGUAAGGUAACGGCUUACCAAGGCAACGAUGCGUAGCCGACCUGAGAGGGUGAUCGGCCACACUGGAACUGAGACACGGUCCAGACUCCUGCGGGAGGCAGCAGUAGGGAAUCUUCCGAAAUGGGCGAAAGCCUGACGGAGCAACGCCGCGUGAGUGAUGAAGGUCUUCGGAUCGUAAAACUCUGUUAUUAGGGAAGAACAAAUGUGUAAGUAACUAUGCACGUCUUGACGGUACCUAAUCAGAAAGCCACGGCUAACUACGUG